rnacentral:rRNA from 1 species
UACGGGGGGGCAAGCGUUGUUCGGAAUUACUGGGCGUAAAGGGCUCGUAGGCGGUGUGUCGCGUCGGCCGUGAAAACCUGCAGCUUAACUGUGGGCUUGCGGUCGAUACGGGCAUCACUGGAGUUCGGCAGGGGAGACUGGAAUUCCUGGUGUAGCGGUGAAAUGACGCAGAUAUCAGGAGGAACACCGGUGGCGAAGGCGGGUCUCUGGGCCGAUACUGACGCUGAGGAGCGAAAGCGUGGGGAGCGAACAGG